UUUACAGAUAUAUCUAUUCAUUACAAAUGUCUUCCUUUUCCAAGGAAGUGGAAAAGUAUGGUCAGCUCACCACAUCUGCUGGGCAAUCCACGCAUGAGGAAACAGUUCCAUGCCAAGAGAUUCUUUCUAGAAAACAGUUCAUUUCUCUAAAAAUGGACAGAGCAAUAAGACUGAACAGUGAAGAAGGAAAUUGCCAGGAAGAUGAAUUCCAGGAGUGUGAGGGUGGAAUAACACCUCUCAAAACAUGUUUGUUGCCCUGUGAAGAAUGUCAGAAACACCACACCAUCUGGGCAACUGCUAUUUCUGAAGAGCCUCUGUACCAAGUUAAAGAUGAUUGGACAAAUUGACCCAAAAAGGGGGAGGUAACUUUGUGUCACCAGAGGAAAAUAUGGAUCUCUUGCAGGAGAGGAUAUGAAACAUUGUAGAACUGUCAGGACUUCUUGCGUGAAUGUUAUGAUAUAUGGAAAGAGUUACGGAUAAAGAAUAUAAAUCUCAUUUGGGGUGAGUGAGGUAAUUUGUUGUUGACCAGGACAAGUGUUUUUGAAGAGUGGAAUUAAAAUUCUUCAUUGAGUAGGGACAGGACAUUGAUUUGUGGUCAUUACAGCAAAGAAGAAUGGUGCUCUUGACCUACUACUACCUACCCUUUGACAUAAGAUAACAAGAAUUUAUUGUUGCUUUUUGUUCUCUGCUGCUUAAAGUUCUGCACUGGAAUUCAAACCUGCUUUCAUGUGGCUUCAAGUACUCUGUAUUUCUUAAGAAGCAUGGUGAUCUGUGGCAGUAAUUCUGGUGGAAAAGACAUUUUUCUGCCAGUAUACCAAACAUACUGGAGUUAUUCAAGUCCUUAGUACCCUUUUUAAAACUUUCUGAUUUCAUGAACCAUUUUCCUGGCAUCUCAGAAUGGCUAAAUUCUGGUUUUAUAAGGCAAAAGUACUGGAUAUAUUUUUUUUUCCAUCCUCAAAUCCACUCUAUCUCAAAGGGGCUUUUACGCAUGUAGUUUUGUUACUCAGUGGGAACACAGUCUAAGCAGAUGUUCCUAUAUGAUGAUGCAAAGAAGAAGCGUUUGUUUCCUUUUUGUCUAUGGCUGGCUUUCAUAGUGUGCUGUCAGCUGCGAAAAUAUUAAAUGUGGCUAGCAAUUUCAGGUAAUUGCUGAACAAAAAAGAUUAUUUAUAAACAAUGAAUUGUUCCAAAUAGAAGUCAAAAUUCAGAGUCCUUUCUCUGGGCACAGUAUGUGGAAUUCAGCUGACCAAACACAGAUUUUCACUCUGCCAGUAUCAACAUCUGAGAUAGUUGUCUGCACCCUCUUUACAAGUUAAUAGAGGAAAAACAGCACUAGAGUGAGAUGUGGUUUACUUCAUCCUAAUGCAGAUGUCUAAAUCAAGAAGAACUUGUUCCCUAAAUGUGGCUGUUUCUCGUCAUCAAGUGUGAGAGGAGCUGAGGGUAGUUGAUCACAAAUAGACGUCAGCUUUAUACUUGGAUAGAUACAAACCUGAACUCUUCUUGCUUUUUGACUCUGCACGCAACUGCCCAUCUCCUCUCUUGUCACUUAGCUCUGGCAAACCUUAGCUUGUCUACCUGUAGAGGAACUAUCACCAGGUCCUAAAUCAUGGAAUCAUUUAGGUUGGAAAAGAUCUCAAAGAUCAUCUAGUCCAACUUUUAACCUAGCACUGCCAAGUCCACCAUUAAGCUAUGUCACUAAGCUCUACAUCUACAUCUUUUUUGAAGACCUCCAGGGAUGGUGACUCAACUACUUCCCUAGGCAGCCUGCUCUAAUACUUCACUACCCUCAAUGCUGCUUUGGACUCUAGACUCCUUACCCACCUGCAGAUAUCCCAACUCUUUUCCUCACAACUAUGUCCUGAGAUGAGAGCACCUCACCUCCCUACAGCAUCUCAGGAGUCUGGAAGAGGAAGCUGAUGCCAGUGGCAGACAGGAGCUUCAGUGUAUCCUCAGCCCCUUUAGGGUGCUCUGAUCCUGCCAAGGGCAGCAGAGUAGCCUCAUCUGAGGAAACAGACACUGAUUGGUUGAAAACCAACUGUCCUCUGUUAUGUGAAUAUUUGGUCACCAGGAAGAAUAGUUUGGGCACCUCAGGAAGAAAGAAAGGGUGAAUUUAAUGGCUAUGGUAAGAGAACACAUCAUAGUCACACUGUUUAAAUAAGAUCUUUAUCUUGUAUCAUGAGAAUUUGCAUGUUGAUUGUAUGUUGUAGCCAACCAUGAGUCUUUCUUGGACACAGGGGAGCUAUUUCCUUCGUUCAAGCAUUCAUCAUCUAUAUCAGAAUGAACCUGUAAAUGUUUGUAAUGAGGACAUACACCACUGUCUUCCUGGAAAUAAACAGUUAACGGACUUCAGAGGGAAUGAUAAGGCAUUAACAGACUUUAGAGGGGAGGCUUUACUUUGAAGAAAUCACCCAUCCACCUUUUGCCUCUUUUUUUUUUUUUUUUUUUGAGGAAGACAGAAACUGUCAACCUUAGGAUCCAGAGGGGAACUGGAAGAUUAAGUAUAAUGUCAGAGAAAAGGGGUAGAUGCUGUGAUGAUUUUGUGCGAUAAUUUUAACUGCAUUAUUACAAGGCUUUUUGUAUUAAUUUGUGAUUUGGUUUAUCCGGCUGUUAAAAAUGGGUUGGACUGGUAAUAAAUUAAUAGCUUCUUAUGUGUGGUAUGUUCAAUUUUCCUCGUAGUGACAUUAUGAGAAUAUUAUCAUUGGUUGAAGAAAGCAGCAGAUAAUGAAGCUAAUAGGCCUGUUUACAUAGAAGGGAAUGACAGAAAAGAAUGUUAAAGAAAAUUAAAUAAAUUAAGACAAAACUAGUUGUCUCUGGUGAAGAGAGAGAGAAAAAAAAUGUAUUUUAACAUAAAGAUAGCCAUUUAGAAUAAUUAUAUUAUUGCAAUUAUAGAAAACACAUAAAUUCAGAGCUAAAACAAGCAAAAACACAGAAGCUUUAUCAUGAUGUUUUUUGAAGAAACUGGAAAAUAAAUUAAGUGCUUCUAACUAAAUGCAAACAGUGAAAGAAGGUCAAUGGUGGACACAAACAUGACAAAUGAAGGUAAGGACAUAAUAACUAUUACAGAGUCCUGGUUUAUCCCAAAGGAAGAGGCUGGGUAAUAGAGUUACAGGAUGUUCCAAAAGAAAAUGUUCAGCAUAGAAAAACAGAAGUGGAAAGGGAGUAUAUCUUUGUAAUGUAGGAAAGUUAAAAGAAAUCUUGAAUGGAAAACAAAAUCAAUUUGGCAAAAUUAGUGUGGAGCAAAUGUCUAAGCACCAAAAAUAUAAAAUGGUAACUUAAAGACUUUUUAUUGCCAAAUAAGUACAGAACAGAGGACAUAAAAUUUCUCAGCUGCUCUAAGUUAUUACAGUUCACUUGCUUUCACUGGAGCUACAAUGAUUUGAAUUAUCUAAAGAUAAAUGAAAAAAACAGUCUAGAUAGAAAGAGAAGAUGAAAGAUGACAGCUGUAUUCCUAAGCAGGAAAUCGUAGAGGAACUUAAAUGACACAAUCAUAGAUGAUUCCUUUUGGGGCUGGGUUUUAUUAAUUUUAUCUGAUCUCAGAUUCACUUAGGCUUUGGAGCACUUAAGGCUAGAUUCCACUUAAAAGCUCUUUGAUUUGUUUUUUCUCAUAAGAAAUCUUGUAAAAGGAGGAGAGGAAAAAAUGGAGGAAAAAAUAAAAAGGGAACGACAGCUGGAGAAAAAAAAAAAAAAGUGCAUUAGGAACUUAGCAUAAUAGCUUAGUAAACCUAUUCUUCACUCUUUUGAGUCAGAGUGAUGUUCCAGUCCUGAUCUAUCUGUGACUUUGAUUGGCUUUGUGAUCAUUUCUACUUGUACGGGGCAUAAUCCUUCAUGAAAUGUAACAGAAUGAAAAAGAACACUACAAAAUUUGUAAAUCUCCUAUAGCAAAAAAUAAAUAAGACAAUAAAUAUGUAUAAUUAUACACACACCCUGUGUUCCACUCUCUUUUAAUAGCAUUUGCAGGUUCAGGCUAAAAAUUAACACUGUGUUUCUUAGCAUUUUUUAUUAGAGAGCAUGUUGUUAAUUCCUAUGCAAUACAUAUAUAGUUUAAAUGAACAUCAUUGUGAUGGAAAGGUCAAAAAUAAGUAAAGAAAACACUAAAAUAAUAGAUGACUUGGGGGUAGGGGUUAUGUGUAAGUACAGAAUAUCAUACAGACUCAGAGUUCAAAUUCCCCACGUGUGUUGGAAUUUACAUUUGGAAAUAUAAUGAAUUUCAGAUGCUUGUUAGAGUUGCACCUUUGUCCUACU